GGGAUUAACAUCUAAAUCUCUGCCAGUACGUGUUUUUGCAGCAUCAGGAGCAGAUUACCUCCCCAUGCAGGUGGCGUGUCCUCACAGGCAGCACCUUGCCUUCUGACCUACUGCUUUUGGGAGAUUCACAAACUCCCCAUCCCACAGUGCGCUAAGCCCACACAACCUGUCAGUCUGAAGAAACGAAGAGACUUUAAGGAUCAGCCACAUCUGAGUGUAUCCACACAAAGGACAUGAGGGGCUCGUCCUGUGCUGCUGAUGUCUGAAAGCUCCUCUAAACACAGCGUUCCAUGAAACAAAAUCCUGUUGUUUCCAAGAGCUGUUACCUGAGAAGCCUGGGACAGACAGCAGUGACUGACCCAAAUGAAGUGGAAACCCAUCAUUUGUAUCAUGGCAAACAGACUGGCCACCUACUCUGCAGAGCAUGAGAACCUAGUGAGUAUCUGCAUUCUCCCGAAUUACUGCAGCCACAAGUCAAACGAACAGAAGGACGAUGUGUUUGGACAGCGCUCCUUUCCAGGGCACAGAAGCACGAAUCCCGAGACCAGAGAUGCAGAGUUUCUUCCCAGGUUUCCUUCCUGUCACAGAGCUGUCCACAGUGUUUACCACUGUGCACCCUGAUUUUCACCGGCUGGGGAGGAGGAGCAGCAGUGAGUGAUGAGCUGGGCACUCCAGAGUCCAUCGGGGACAUAAGGUGCAAAAUGUGCCUCCCUCCUGCUUACCCUGCUGACGCACCAUGGAACUGGACAUGUCCGGACACUGAACUACUUUCCAAAGCAAGUGGGGCUGCUGGAAGUGCUCCUUUCCCUGAGGAACAGGCAAGAGCACAAACAACACUUGUCUGCUCAUGUUCUCUGGAGGGUUCCUGCCUGCCCCUGGCCAUGAGUACUGCUCAUGCUAUGAAACCUUUGUGAAUGAGAAUCCGUGGCACUUUGCUGAAUUCCGCCGUUUUCCAUUUGAACAUGAAAUCUCUUUGCAAUUCUCCAGGGUUGCUUUCUGGCAUUUUUAUUUCAAUGAUGUAAGAGCUGCCUGUUACUGCCAAGCCCAUAAUUAAAGCAGCGUUGACUGAAUAUCCCACCGGUGAUUUGGACUCCUCUGUAGAGAUACUUGUAUCAACUGGCAUAAAGGAACCUUGGCAGAGUGGGUUUCCACAUUUAGACUCUACUUAAAUCUAUAGCAAAAUUCCGUGGAUUUUUGUCUGAAGACAAUCUAUGAACGAAAGAGAUGCUGGUUUUGUUAAGCAUGCUGCUUUGGGUAUUCCUGCUUCUUUUCCCACAUUCUUCCCAUUUCUCUGUUUGUGAAAUGAAUCAUAAGUAGGGGUCAGAAUACCAUUAUACUGAUAGAAUCCAGGGAGGAGAUGAAGGAGCUCACAAGCAGUUGUUUUGAUUAUCACUGACAUGCGACAGCAUGAGGAUGCCAAGGGAACACGGGCAGCAAGGGCUUGUCAGUGUUCUUGAUGGAUUCGUGUAUGGUCAAACUGCAGCUGUGGCAGAAAUUAGCUCUUAUGUUAGGCCAAGUCCAUAUACCUCCGCAGAAAAGGAGGGGGAGGCAACGAUUGUCAUCUUCUUUCCUGGAAUCUGACUUAAAAACAAAACUCGCAAUCUCUACAAUUAGCAUUGCAAAGAAAAUCUCUGAAAAUGAAGGGUGUAAAGAGGCUGCCUGGCAGAGUGCCUCAAACAAUAACUCCGGGAAGUGUGAACUGCUCGCUCUAUAGCUAGGGGAUGUUAACAAAAGCAUGUUCUAUUUGAGCCGAGCUGGUAGUGAUGGACAGUCAAUGUUAGCAAGUAGUGCAAGUCUGUGCAAGCCUCUGCUGGCUCCUUCUUAUCUCUUCUGCACCGGCUGUGUCUAUAAGGUGUUGGAGGAGGUGGUUUCCCUGUUCUUUUGAGCUCAAAAUUACAGGCUGCCUACAGGGGCAGCUUUGUGUCGCAGUUAGUCCCAUGAAAUGAUCCUUUUUGCUAUGAAAACUGGAAUUCCAGAAAGGAAAAUUUUCUAGCAUGCCCUCUGUCCAGACUGAAUGAGUAAUCUCUCUCUGUACCCUACAAACAUCCUUGGUAUCCUUGAUCCGGUGAAGCAUGUAUGCCAUGGACAGUUGUAUUGGAAUAGCAGAGAUGGAAAGGUCAUAUGCAAUUCCAUACUUUAUUGUGCCUGCUAAAAUCGAGACUCCCCCGAUUCUCUCUCACCCUUUGCCCCUGUGCAUCCCUGUAUCCCAUGUUGAUGCGUGAAUAUAGCUUGCCAAAAACUAAACUGGGGGGAAAAAAAAAUCAGCUUUUUUUGAAGGAGCAGCUGCAUGAGCUUUGCUAGCCAAGAGUGCACUGGAGAUGGCUCAUGCACGACUGUGUGCAAAGCCCUGCGGGGUUAUCAAGGCAGCUAGUGUUGAACACUGCAUGCUUAGAACAAGAAUCUGUGGCUGAAAGUGAACUUGCUGCAGUGAACACAGUAAAUAAAACUAUGCCUCCAAGUUUAUAUCUGUUUAUUGUAUCUGAGCUUUCAUCCACCCCUACCUUCAUAUGUAUCUGAAUAACAGAAGUUAAAUAAACCUGAAGGAUUAGAAACACCCCUUGAC